GCCUUGGUAGUGUAGUGGUAUGAGCUCAGACUGUAACUCUAGAGACCAGGUUUCAAGUCCCAGCUCAGCCA